AUCGCUUCUCGGCCUUUUGGCUAAGAUCAAGUGUAGUAUCUGUUCUUAUCAGUUUAAAAUAUUUGUGUUUACAUGCCUCCACAUUGCUGUUGCUAUCACUCAUAGAACUCUCCUGUUCACAUCUUAGCUAGGUGGUGCUUGUGCUGAAAAUAAGCUCCUCUCUCUCUCAUUGCACUUCUGGGAGAUCUGUGUCCUU